rnacentral:rRNA from 1 species
UACGAAGGGGGCUAGCGUUGCUCGGAAUCACUGGGCGUAAAGGGCGCGUAGGCGGACUUUUAAGUCGGGGGUGAAAGCCCAGGGCUCAACCCUGGAAUUGCCUUCGAUACUGGGAGUCUUGAGUUCGGAGGAGGUUGGUGGAACUGCGAGUGUAGAGGUGAAAUUCGUAGAUAUUCGCAAGAACACCAGUGGCGAAGGCGGCCAACUGGUCCGAAACUGACGCUGAGGCGCGAAAGCGUGGGGAGCAAACAGG